CUGAAGCAGAGCUGUGCACGAGAGGCUCAGGUUAUCAGUUUAUUCAUGCAGCUGAUAUGCUUUAUUGUGCCGAGUCCCAUAUCCGAAUGAUUAAGACUGGAGAAAGUGGCAUGAUAGUUUUCCGGCUUCUUACAAAAAACAACCGAUGGACUUGGGUCCAGUCUAAUGCACGCCUGCUUUAUAAAAAUGGAAGACCAGAUUAUAUCAUUGUAACUCAGAGACCACUAACGUAAGCACAAAUAAUGUUUCCUGUUUUAACAGUUUUGUUUUCAUAAGUCCUCUUAUGUGAAAGCAUAAAAAUAAUUCAAGCAGACUUUAGUCUGUAAAUAAAAAUUGAAAAGUUUAAUUCAUCUAGAAAGAAGAGCACAGGUGAGAGACAUUGAGAAGAUAGAAUUGACGAACUUGAUUGAGAGCUACAUGUGCAGAGCUAUAGAAAGAAUAAUAAAACUCUAGGGUUUUAUCUUGGGCAUAUGAAAGACACAUGAAAAGCUAGUGUCAUUGGUAAAAAAGAAGAAAAA
rnacentral:lncRNA from 1 species